ACCUGAUUCCAUGCCGAACUCAGAAGUGAAACGAAUUAGCGCCGAUGGUAGUGUGGGGUUUCCCCAUGUGAGAGUAGGACAUCGCCAGGC
rnacentral:rRNA from 1 species